AUUGAACGCUAGCGGGAGGCUUUACACAUGCAAGUCGAACGAGUGGCGGACGGGUGAGUAAUAUCUCGGAACGUGCCUAGUAGCGGGGGAUAACUACUCGAAAGGGUGGCUCAUACCGCAUACUAUCGGAGGGGCCGAUAUCGGCUUAGCUAGUUGGUGGGGUAAAGGCUCACCAAGGCAACGAUCCGUAGCUGGUUUGAGAGGAUGACCAGCCACACGGGGACUGAGACACGGCCCAGACUCCUACGGGAGGCAGCAGUGGGGAAUAUUGGACAAUGGGGGAAACCCUGAUCCAGCCAUCCCGCGUGUAUGAGAAGGCCUUCGGGUUGUAAAGUACUUUUGGCAGAGAAGCGGUAUCCGCAGAAGAAGCACCGGCUAACUACGUGCCAGCAGCCGCGGUAAUAC
rnacentral:rRNA from 1 species